GUGUGAUUGAUAACAACUUGGAAGAAUGAUGGAGCAUGGUGGAAAGGGAACAUGACCCCUGAAGGUGUUGAAGAUUAAGUUUUCCAAAUGCAAAAGGAAUCAUUCCUGCCUUUCCACACCAGCACUCAGGAGGAGGAAAGCAGAACUAGUGAGAGGACUUGUGAUUUGGUAUGUUCUUCUUCUCUGGAAAGAAGGAAUGAUUUUCCAGUCCUAGAGAGCUAAACUCUACCACAUUACCUGUCUACAGUGUGAAAUCCCUUCAGGACAGUUUUGGAGAUGGUGAUGGCACACAUACUGCCUUCUGAUGAUUUUCCCAGUGGUCGUUCAAGCGCAUGGCAUUCAGCUCAUUCUGAUUCUCCUCUCGCCUCUGCAGCAGCUUCUUAAAGGCUUCCAUUUGAACCUUCUGCAACCUGCAAGGAAAGAAAAGGCUGCAAAGGGAGAAAAGCUUUUCUAGGAAGAUACUUCCUGAGAAUGAACAAUUUCUUUGGCAUAUGCCGUGUCCAUCAUUGUUACAGGGUUCGGAACAAGAGGCUGAGGACCUGGCUGUCCCCUGCAUCCCCUGCAUCCUUUGCGGCUGACAGGGUACGCGACUCUCUCCUAGAAAGAGGUGCAAGAUGGAAGAUCGGUCACAUUCAUUAAAAAAACCUCCAAGCAAACAAACCAGAAACAUGUCAGUCAAAUGUGAGAUCAAAACAGAGGGUUACAUGCUGAGACCUGUUGUCUUCCAAACCCUCAUCUAAUUCCUGCAAACUGUGCCGUGGAAUCUGGGGAGUCCACAGGAAAGCUUCGAGAUGCUUCAUUAACCUCCUGUGACACACAAUUUACUGCCAAGAUGUCACCAUCAUGCAAAUGAGCCUCAGAACUGAAAUCCUACUGCUCUGUGGAAGAUACAGGUGAAAAAUCUAGUAGAAAAAUCG